rnacentral:lncRNA from 1 species
ACAAAGCAAAGGUGAGUUAAAAGAAAUCAAUAGCUCUAAAGACUUCCUCCUCAAAGUCUCAAGCAAAAGAGCAAAGUGAUUAUUCAUCAAGUGACGAAGAAGAAGAGGACAAGAGUGAAGAUAUGGGGCUGUUCGUCAAACGCUACAACCGUUACGUGAGAAAGAACGGCAUCCAACAUUCCGAGAAGAACUUAGUUAACUUCC